rnacentral:rRNA from 1 species
UACGUAGGGUGCGAGCGUUAAUCGGAAUUACUGGCGUAAAGCGUGCGCAGGCGGUCUGUUAAGACCGAUGUGAAAUCCCCGGGCUUAAUCUGGGAACUGCAUUGGUGACUGGCAGGCUUUGAGUGUGGCAGAGGGAGGUAGAAUUCCACGUGUAGCAGUGAAAUGCGUAGAGAUGUGGAGGAAUACCGAUGGCGAAGGCAGCCUCCUGGGCCAACACUGACGCUCAUGCACGAAAGCGUGGGGAGCAAACAGG